rnacentral:lncRNA from 1 species
UUGUUGUUUUUCUAUUUCCUGGGGUUGUGUGCGCGCUCUGUACAGCUGUGUAGUAACGGUGUUUUUUUAAGUAAGAAAUACGACAUCUGUCCUAAAAGCGUGAAAGCUUUCGAAAAAAGGAAUUAGGCAAGCGACGAGCGGUUAAUCUAACCUAAAGGUGUUCCUAACACUCCAUUGCCUUUAGAGUAAGAUGUGUGGCAAGCGAAACAAGUUCUAAACCUGUGCAUAUGAAGGGAGCAAUUGUUUUCGCGUACGGCGAAGCAGUGAAGUCGUCUGCAGUGUCCUGUUGGCGUUGAUGAGCUGCGUCGGGGUGGCGCCGGCUAACGUAGCAGACGCCUUGGACUCGGCACCUCACAUCGUUCAACGAGGACUGUCGCUCCAGAUAGCUGCGGCUACACCUUGGAGCCGGACACGCUACCAAAAACAACAGCUUGGUGGGAAAGAGAUACUACGAACGGGCUGUCCAUACUUCAGCGGUUGGAAGCAGCGACAGCACCCACGUGAGGAAAGUGCGGAAGGCAGAACGGUCGCCUACGAGGAAAAAUUCGGUCGAAACCUUCCUCGUGACAGGUGUGCACGCGUGGUCACGUGUGAUCACACACCCAUAGUUUGCAUGCAAGCUUGUUCUGAUGCUUGGUAUUAGUAA